UACGGAGGGUGCAAGCGUUAUCCGGAUUCACUGGGUUUAAAGGGUGCGUAGGUGGGUUAGUAGGUCAGUGGUGAAAUCUUCGAGCUUAACUCGGAAACUGCCAUUGAUACCAUUAGUCUUGAAUAUUGUGGAGGUUAGCGGAAUAUGUCAUGUAGCGGUGAAAUGCUUAGAUAUGACAUAGAACACCAAUUGCGAAGGCAGCUGGCUACACAUAUAUUGACACUGAGGCACGAAAGCGUGGGGAUCAAACAGG
rnacentral:rRNA from 1 species